rnacentral:rRNA from 1 species
CCUAGGUGGGAUUAGCUAGUUGGUGAGGUAAUGGCUCACCAAGGCGACGAUCCCUAGCUGGUCUGAGAGGAUGAUCAGCCACACUGGAACUGAGACACGGUCCAGACUCCUACGGGAGGCAGCAGUGGGGAAUAUUGCACAAUGGGCGAAAGCCUGAUGCAGCCAUGCCGCGUGUAUGAAGAAGGCCUUCGGGUUGUAAAGUACUUUCAGUUGUGAGGAAGGGGGUANCGUUAAUAGCGNNAUCUCUUGACGUUAGCAACAUGAGAAGCACCGGCUAACUCCGUGCCAGCAGCCGCGGUAAUACGGAGGGUGCGAGCGUUAAUCGGAAUUACUGGGCGUAAGGUGGUUCNUUAAGUCAGAUGUGAAAGCCCCCGUACUCAACCUCGGAACUGCAUUUGAAACUGGUGAACU